rnacentral:rRNA from 1 species
UGGGGAAUUUUGCACAAUGGGGGAAACCCUGAUGCAGCGACGCCGCGUGAUUUAGAAGGCCUUCGGGUUGUAAAAAUCUUUUGUAUGGGAAGAAAAUGACAGUACCAUACGAAUAAGGACCGGCUAAUUACGUGCCAGCAGCCGCGGUAAUACGUAAGGUCCGAGCGUUGUCCGGAAUCAUUGGGCGUAAAGGGUACGUAGGCGGAUAAGCAAGUUAGAAGUGAAAUCCUAUAGCUCAACUAUAGUAAGCUUUUAAAACUGCUCAUCUUGAGGUAUGGAAGGGAAAGUGGAAUUCCUAGUGUAGCGGUGAAAUGCGCAGAUAUUAGGAAGAACACCAGUGGCGAAGGCGACUUUCUGGACGAACACUGACGCUGAGGCGCGAAAGCCAGGGGAGCGAACGGG